rnacentral:rRNA from 1 species
GCAUAUCAAUAAGCGGAGGAAAAGAAACCAACAGGGAUUGCCCCAGUAACGGCGAGUGAAGCGGCAACAGCUCAGAUUUGGAAUCUGGCCCCCAGGGCCCGAGUUGUAAUCUGGAGAGGAUGCUUCUGGCGCGGCGCCUUCCGAGUUCCCUGGAACGGGACGCCGGAGAGGGUGAGAGCCCCGUACGGUUGGACGCCUAGCCUUUGUGAAGCUCCUUCGACGAGUCGAGUAGUUUGGGAAUGCUGCUCAAAAUGGGAGGUAAAUUUCUUCUAAAGCUAAAUACCGGCCAGAGACCGAUAGCGCACAAGUAGAGUGAUCGAAAGAUGAAAAGCACUUUGAAAAGAGGGUCAAACAGUACGUGAAAUUGUUGAAAGGGAAGCGCCCGUGGCCAGACUUGUGCCCCGCGGACCACCCGGCGCCCUCAGCGCCGGUGCACUCCGCGGGGCGCAGGCCAGCAUCGGUUUUCCUAGGGGGAUAAAAGGCGGCGGGAACGUGGCUCCUUCGGGAGUGUUAUAGCCCGUCGUGCCAUGCCCCUGGGGGGACCGAGGACCGCGCUUCGGCAAGGAUGCUGGCGUAAUGGCCACCGGCGACCCGUCUUGAAACACGGACCAAGGAGUCAAGCAUUGGGGCGAGUGUCUGGGUGCCAAACCCGCACGCGAAAUGAAAGUGAACGCAGGUGAGAGCUUCGGCGCAUCAUCGACCGAUCCUGAUGUUCUCGGAUGGAUUUGAGUAAGAGCCUUACCGCUUGGACCCGAAAGAUGGUGAACUAUGCCUGUAUAGGGUGAAGCCAGAGGAAACUCUGGUGGAGGCUCGCAGCGGUUCUGACGUGCAAAUCGAUCGUCAAAUAUGGGCAUGGGGGCGAAAGACUAUUCGAACCAUCUAGUAGCUGCUUACCGCC